GACGAACGCUGGCGGCGUGCCUAAUACAUGCAAGUCGAACGCUGAAGGAGGAGCUUGCUUCUCUGGAUGAGUUGCGAACGGGUGAGUAACGCGUAGGUAACCUGCCUGGUAGCGGGGGAUAACUAUUGGAAACGAUAGCCAAUACCGCAUAAGAGUAGAUGUCGCAUGACAUUUGCUUAAAAGGUGCAAUUGCAUCACUACCAGAUGGACCUGCGUUGUAUUAGCUAGUUGGUGAGGUAACGGCUCACCAAGGCAACGAUACAUAGCCGACCUGAGAGGGUGAUCGGCCACACUGGGAAUGAGACACGGCCCAGACUCCUACGGGAGGCAGCAGUAGGGAAUCUUCGGCAAUGGACGGAAGUCUGACCGAGCAACGCCGCGUGAGUGCAGAAGGUUUUCGGAUCGUAAAGAUCUGUUGUAAGAGAAGAACGAGUGUGAGAGUGGAAAGUUCACACUGUGACGGUAUCUUACCAGAAAGGGACGGCUAACUACGUG
rnacentral:rRNA from 1 species